rnacentral:rRNA from 1 species
UACGGAGGGUGCAAGCGUUAUCCGGAUUCACUGGGUUUAAAGGGUGCGUAGGUGGGCUGAUAAGUCAGUGGUGAAAUCUUGGGGCUUAACCCCGAAACUGCCAUUGAUACUGUUGGUCUUGAAUAUCCUGGAGGUAAGCGGAAUAUGUCAUGUAGCGGUGAAAUGCUUAGAUAUGACAUAGAACAUCUAUUGCGAAGGCAGCUUACUACGAGAUUAUUGACACUGAGGCACGAAAGCGUGGGGAUCAAACAGG